UGGCGCCUUAGUGCGCCUUGAGCUUUUAAUAACUAUGGUAUAGCCUAUCCUACAAACACACAUUUAAGAAUUUUAGGUUUUAAUUUGUCAACAUUUGUUUUGUGGAUACACAUCCAAAAAUCUUUGAGGAACAGUAUUAGAAUUAUGACCUUGUAAAACCUCUAAAGGACUCUUAAAGUUUAGUAUUCUCAGAGGCAUUCUUUUGAUAAUAUAUGUUACAGCAAGAACUGCAUCCUCCUGAUAAGAUGUAAGAAGAUUAAUAGUAGACAUAAAGAUCCAACACCUCCAAUAAAUAUCUAUUUUU
rnacentral:misc_RNA from 1 species